UUGGGAAGGAACAAAGCAUGACUU
rnacentral:miRNA from 1 species